UACAGAGGGGGCAAGCGUUGUUCGGAAUUACUGGGCGUAAAGGGCUCGUAGGUGGCCAACUAAGUCAGACGUGAAAUCCCUCGGCUUAAACCGGGGAACUGCGUCUGAUACUGGAUGGCUUGAGUUUGGGAGAGGGAUGGAAUUCCGCGUGUAGCAGUGAAAUGCGUAGAUAUGCGGAGGAACACCGAUGGCGAAGGCAAUCCCCUGGGCCUGCACUGACGCACAUGCACGAAAGCGUGGGGAGCAACAGG
rnacentral:rRNA from 1 species